rnacentral:misc_RNA from 1 species
CCUCGUUUUUUUUUCGUUUCUCUCGUUUUUUUUUUUUUUUUUACCAGGAGUGGCGUCCAGCGCCGCGAGUAAGCGGAACAAGAGGGUGGUCGCGGGGGUGCGUGGAACGUCCAUUUAUCCCCCGUUUUGUCGAGCAGCCUAGCCUCUAGAAUACGGCUUUAUUUACCGGGAGUUUGCGUUUUUCCAGGACGUUGCGUCUCUCUGGUCUCUGGUCCUGAUCGCGGCCCACGCCGCGCGUGGAAAACGUGUUUAUUAUGCGAUCUGGCCAGCGCUGACUUACACGUCCACGGCAUUGUCGAUGCCGAAGUGGUUGGAGGGUCGGUGAAAGUGGAAUGUGUGUUUCGGAAAGGAAUUAUCGAAGACAAGAUGCGAGACAGAUAACUUUAGCGUACGAUGGAAAGAAUUGUUUACGUUUCUCUUUUUGUUUUCACGCUAGCACUACUGCAUACC